UACGUAGGGGGCAAGCGUUGUCCGGAAUCAUUGGGCGUAAAGCGCGCGUAGGUGGCUUCGUAAGUCCGCUGUGAAAGUCAAAGGCUCAACCUUUGAAAGCCGGUGGAUACUGUGAGGCUAGAGUACGGAAGAGGCGAGUGGAAUUCCUGGUGUAGCGGUGGAAUGCGCAGAUAUCAGGAGGAACACCAAUAGCGAAGGCAGCUCGCUGGGACGUAACUGACACUGAGGCGCGAAAGCGUGGGGAGCGAACAGG
rnacentral:rRNA from 1 species